rnacentral:rRNA from 1 species
GGCUGAAAUUCGCCUUCAUGAAGCCGGAAUUGCUAGUAAUGGCAGGUCAGCAUACUGCCGUGAAUACGUUCCCGGGCCUUGUACACACCGCCCGUCACACCAUGAGAGUUGGGAAUACCCGAAGCCUGUGAGCUAACGAAAGAGGCAGCAGUCGAAGGUAGAAUCAAUGAUUGGGGUGAAGUCGUAACAAGGUAUC